GACGAACGCUGGCGGCGUGCUUAACACAUGCAAGUCGAACGGAAAGGCCCUGCUUUUGUGGGGUGCUCGAGUGGCGAACGGGUGAGUAACACGUGAGUAACCUGCCCUUGACUUUGGGAUAACUUCAGGAAACUGGGGCUACUACCGGAUAGGAGCUCCUGCUGCAUGGUGGGGGUUGGAAAGUUUCGGCGGGUGGGGAUGGACUCGCGGCUUAUCAGCUUGUUGGUGGGGUAGUGGCUUGCCAAGGCUUUGACGGGUAGCCGGCCUGAGAGGGUGACCGGCCACAUUGGGACUGAGAUACGGCCCAGACUCCUACGGGAGGCAGCAGGGGGGAAUAUUGCACAAUGGGCGGAAGCCUGAUGCAGCAACGCCGCGGGCGGGAUGACGGCCUUCGGGUUGUAAACCGCUUUCGCCUGUGACGAAGCGUGAGUGACGGUAAUGGGUAAAGAAGCACCGGCUAACUACGUG
rnacentral:rRNA from 1 species